rnacentral:rRNA from 1 species
UCGGGAAUAUUGCGCAAUGGAGGAAACUCUGACGCAGUGACGCCGCGUGCAGGAAGAAGGUUUUCGGAUUGUAAACUGCUUUAGACAGGGAAGAAAGAAAUGACGGUACCUGUAGAAUAAGCUCCGGCUAACUACGUGCCAGCA